AUACUUACCUGGCAGGAAAGACACCAUGAUCACGAAGGUGGUUCACCCUGGGUGAGGCUUAGCCAUUGCACUUGGGUUAUGCUGACCUCUGCGAACUCUGCGAACUCUCGACUGCAUAAUUUGUGGUGGUGGGGGACUGCGUUCGCGCUUUCCCCUG